rnacentral:rRNA from 1 species
GACGAGCGCUGGCGGCGUGCUUAACACAUGCAAGUCGAACGGAAAGGCCCUGCUUUUGUGGGGUGCUCGAGUGGCGAACGGGUGAGUAACACGUGAGUAACCUGCCCUUGACUGUGGGAUAACUUCAGGAAACUGGGGCUAAUACCGGAUAGGAGCUCCUGCUGCAUGGGGGGGGUUGGAAAGUUUCGGCGGUUGGGGAUGGACUCGCGGCUUAUGAGCCUGUUUGUGGGGUAGUGGCUUACCAAGGCUUUGACGGGUAGCCGGCCUGAGAGGGUGACCGGCCACCUUGGGACUGCGAUACGGCCCAGUCUCCUACGGGAGGCAGCAGUGGGGAAUCUUGCACAAUGGGCGGACGCCUGAUGCAGCAACGCCGCGUGCGGGAUGACGGCCUUCGGGUUGUAAACCGCUUUCGCCUGUGACGAAGCGUGAGUGACGGUAAUGGGUAAAGAAGCACCGGCUAACUACGUG